rnacentral:rRNA from 1 species
UACGUAGGGUGCAAGCGUUGUCCGGAAUUAUUGGGCGUAAAGAGCUCGUAGGCGGUUUGUCGCGUCUGCUGUGAAAACGCGGGGCUCAACUCCGCGCCUGCAGUGGGUACGGGCAGACUAGAGUGCAGUAGGGGGAGACUGGAAUUCCUGGUGUAGCGGUGGAAUGCGCAGAUAUCAGGAGGAACACCGGUGGCGAAGGCGGGUCUCUGGGCAGUAACUGACGCUGGAGGAGCGAAAGCGUGGGGAGCGAAACAGG